GGGGAUGUAGCUCAGUGGUAGAGUGCAUGCUUUGCCUUUAUGAAGUCCUAGGUUUAAUCCACAGCAUCUCCA